GAUGAACGCUAGCGGCAGGCUUAAUACAUGCAAGUCGAGGGGCAGCAUGACUGUAGCAAUACAGUUGAUGGCGACCGGCAAACGGGUGCGGAACACGUACAGAACCUUCCUUCGAGCGGGGAAUAGCCCAGAGAAAUUUGGAUUAAUACCCCAUAGUACAACGGAGUGGCAUCACUUUGUUGUUAAAGAUUUAUCACUUGAAGAUGGCUGUGCGGCUGAUUAGGUAGUUGGCGGGGUAACGGCCCACCAAGCCUGCGAUCAGUAACUGGUGUGAGGGCACGACCAGUCACACGGGCACUGAGACCCGGGCCCGACUCCUACGGGAGGCAGCAGUAAAGAAUAUUGGUCAAUGGACGAAAGUCUGAACCAGCCAUGCCGCGUGGAGGAUGAAGGUCCUCUGGAUUGUAAACUUCUUUUAUAUGGGACGAAAAAAGGGUUUUCUAACUCGUCUGACGGUACCAUAUGAAUAAGCACCGGCUAACUCCGUGCCAGCCGCCGCCGUAAUAC
rnacentral:rRNA from 1 species